rnacentral:lncRNA from 1 species
AAACUGCUUUCACAGAUUUUCAAAGAGAUUAGUGGUGAGAACAGACCCGCCUAAUAAAAGGCAGCAAGGGUAGAAACUUCCUUUUAUUAGAUAGUGCACAUGAUAAAUGGAUUAUUUUGACUUAAGUUUGGGAUUGGAUCUUGUAUUUUAGCAUUCCUGAUUCUCAUGACCCCCUACAUAUAGUUGAGCAUGAACGUCACCCCCCUUGGGCCCAGUGUCCUCUCACCUGGGCAACUGUCAUAAAAUAAUUAGUAUUCAACCUCUUGUCUUCCCAGGGCCAUGUAGGAACCAUGCAGGGAUAGUUAUUAAGCUGUCUGAAAAGAGUUUCAUGAAGUGCAACCCUAGCACAAGACUGAGAGGGAGUGGCUUGUACUUUUGAUUCAUGCCCAGUAUCAAGAAAGAAAAGAGGACAAGGCCAUGUCUGUGCUGUGCCUAAUGAAACAAACACUCAGAAGCUACUUGAUGCUUAACAUUAGGUCAUUUGUGUAGUACCAAUAUCAUGUGGAUGGUGGACCUAUUUUCUUUUGAAGUACAAAUAGAAUAUUUCUUGCUAUAUAUUCAUAUAUGUAUAUAGAAGUAGAGUAUGAACAGAGAGGGAUUCUAGCAUCAGCGCAUUAUUUCUCAACCUGGAAAAUCACUUCAGCAACUACCCAAAGGAUAGAGUGAAACUCUUCCCCCCCCCCACCUUUUUAAGUGCCAGUUAACAUAUAUAAAAAUAUAUGUAUUACUGAUUCUUUUUUUCAAAGAUAUAUGACAGAAUCCUUCAAAAAUCUUCUUUCUUGUUAAAAAAAUAA